GGCAGGUAGAUCAGUGGUAGAGCAUCUGUUUUGCAUGCAGAAGGUUCUUGGUUCAAUCCCUGGCAUUUCCA